GCCUAAUACAUGCAAGUCGAACGGUCUUUCUAUGGAAGCUUGCUUCCACUGAGAAGAUAGUGGCGAACGGGUGAGUAACACGUGGGGUAACCCUGCCCAUAAGAGGGGGGAGUAACAUCCGGAAACGGGUGCUAAUACCGCAUAGUUUUCUUGAUCGCAUGAUUGGGAAAGGAAAGACGGCCUUUGUGCUGUCGCUUAUGGAUGGACCCGCGGCGUAUUAGUUAGCUGGUGAGGUAACGGCUCACCAAGACGAUGAUACGUAGCCGACCUGAGAGGGUGAUCGGCCACAUUGGGACUGAGACACGGCCCAAACUCCUACGGGAGGCAGCAGUAGGGAAUCUUCCGCAAUGGACGAAAGUCUGACGGAGCAACGCCGCGUGAGUGAAAGAAGGUUUUCGGAUCGUAAAACUCUGUUGUCAGAGAAGAACAAGUUGGAGAGUAACUGCUCCAGCCUUGACGGUAUCUGACCAGAAAGCCACGGCUAACUACGUGCCAGCCGCCGC
rnacentral:rRNA from 1 species